AAUAUAUAUUUGAAUUAACUGUGAGUAGCUCAGUUCAUUGAAAUAUAAUAACCAGAAAAUGCUUUUAAUUUAAAAUAUCCCACCUACCGGCUACCGGACUCUUCUUUCUUAAAUAAUUCUAUUAAUCUCAUUCUGAAGUCUGAACAACAGCUAACUGUUCCCACAAUUGUUUCAUAUCAUGUCAUGACAUUGACUGAUUGGGAGCCUCAAAAGGCAUCUUCUCCAAAAGAGUACUGCUAGUAAAUAAAUAAAUUGAAGUGCCUCAAUAUCAGUUCAUGGUUGAUGUUGCUGAAAAAUGAGAAAUGUACAAGAAAACUAUCUUCUCUUUUUUCUUUUUCUGAUCUUAGCUGCUUUAUCAUCUCAAGUUUAUAGUAUUUCCAGUGAUUUUUCAAUAUUAGACAGAUCAAAUGAGUUCAUAUCAGAUGAAAGAGUUUUCCAACUUUUCCAAGAAUGGAAACAGAAGCAUGGGAAAGUUUACAAGGAUGAGAAAGAGGAAGAAAUGAGGUUAGAGAAGUUUAGAUGGAAUGUGAAGUAUAUAGUGGAAAAGAACUCAGAAAGGAAGUCAGCUUCAGAUCAUUUUGUUGGUCUGACUAAUUUUGCUGAUAUGAGCAAUGAAGAGUUCAGGGAAGUUUAUGGUUCAAAGAUAAAGAUACCCUUUAACAAGAGAAAGAUUAUUCAGAUGAAGAAUGUGGAAGAAAAAAUAACUUCAAUUUCUUGCGAUGCUCCUCGUUCGAGGGAUUGGAGGAAACUUGGGGCUGUCACUAAGGUCAAGAACCAAGGCCUAUGUGGAGCUUGCUGGGCAUUUUCAGCAUGUGGAGCCAUAGAGGGAAUAAAUGCAAUAGUUACUGGUGAACUUAUUAGCCUUUCUGUCCAAGAACUUGUUAAUUGUGACAAUUCAACCAAUAAUGCUUGUUAUGGUGGAUAUAUGGAUCCUGCUUUUGAGUGGGUGAUCAAUAAUGGCGGCAUUGCUUCAGAACCUGAUUACCCAUACACGGCCUCUCAAGGCGCAUGCAAUAUCACCAAGGUGAACCAUAAGGUUGUAACAAUUGAUGGAUACCAAGAUGUUCCAGUAGAGAAAACUGCCCUUCUUUGUGCUGUCGCUCAACAACCUGUCAGUGUUGGCAUCGAUGGAACAAGUGCUGAUUUUCAGCUAUAUAAAGGGGGAAUCUAUGAUGGAAGUUGCUCUAGUAGUCCAGAUGACUUGAGCCAUGGAGUACUAAUAGUAGGAUAUGGUUCCAAAGGAGACGAUGACUACUGGAUAAUCAAGAACUCAUGGGGUACAUCAUGGGGAUUGGAGGGGUAUGGAUAUAUAAGAAGAAACAGUGAUUUGCCAUAUGGUGUUUGUGCUAUUAAUUCAUUGGCUUCUUAUCCAACAAAGGAAAUAUCUUUUGUACAAUCUCCUUAUCCGUCUCCUGCCGCUCAACUACCUCCUCCACCAUUUCCUCUGCCCUCUCCACCAUCUUCAAUCGUCCCACCACCUCCUCCAUCCCCUUCUCCCCCUCCACCUUCUGCACCAUCUCCUUAUCUGUAUCUGCCCCCUCCACCACCUUUCGAGCCAUCUCCUUAUCCGUAUUUGCCCCCUCCACCACCUUUCGAGCCAUCUCCUUAUCCGUCUCCAGCUGCUCCACCACCUACUCCACCAUCCCCUCUGCCCCCUCCUCCACCUUCUGCACCAUUUCCUUAUCCGUCUCCGAUUGUUCCUCCACCUCCUCCACCAUCUCCUUAUCCGUCUCCAGCCAUUCCAUUAUUCCCUCCACCACCUCCACUCCCAUCCCCUCAGCCACCUUUUGCACCAUAUCCUUAUCCAUCUCCAACCGUUUCACCACCUUCUCCUUAUCCGUCUCCAGUUGUUCCACCACCUCUUUCACCAUACCCUCCAUCACCUCCAUUACCUUCCCCUCCGCCCCCUACACUACCUCCUCCACCGUCCCCUUUGCUCCCUCCAUCACCUCCUCCGCCAUCCCGUUCUCCUCCUCCAAACUUCCCACCAUCUCCUGCGCCCCCUCCUCCCCCUCCACCAUCUCCUCCACCAACCCCUUCGCCCCCUCCACUCCCUCCACCCUCUCCAUCACCUCCUCCACCCUCCCUCCCGCCUCCACCACCUCCUUCGCCAUCCCCUCCGCCCCCUCCACCACCUUCUCUUCUCCUUUCACCCCCUCCACCAUCCCCUCCGCCCCCACCACCUCCUUCACCUCCUCCACCAUCCCAUCCGCCCCCUCCUCCACCUACUCUGCCAUCCCCUUCGCCUUUUUCUCCACCAUCCCCUUCGCCCUCACCACCACCUCCUCCACCAUCCCCUCCACCACCUCCUCCGCCAUCCCCACCACCUCCUCCGCCGUCCCCUCCACCCCCUCCUCCAUAUUCACCACCGCCUCCUCCUCCAUCCCCUCCGCCAUCCCCACCACCUCCUCCGUCGUCCCCUCCACCCCCUCCUCCAUCCCCUCCGCCAUCCCCACCACCUCCUCCUUCGUCCCCUCCGCCCCCUCCUCCAUCCCCUCCGCCACCACCACCUCCUCCUCCUCCUCCUUCACCCCCUCCGCCCUCCCCACCACCUCCUCCACCAUCCCCUCCGCCACCCCCUCCGCCCUCCCCACCACCUCCUCCACCGUCCCCUCCGCCACCCCCCUCCUCCACCUCCUCCGCCAUCCCCUCCGCCCCCUUCACCCCCUCCGCCCUCCCCACCACCUCCUCCACCAUCCCCUCCGCCACCCCCUCCGCCCUCCCCACCACCUCCUCCACCGUCCCCUCCGCCACCCCCUCCUCCACCUCCUCCGCCAUCCCCUCCGCCCCCUUCACCCCCUCCGCCCUCCCCACCACCUCCUUCACCAUCCCCUCCGCCACCUCCGCCCCCUUCACCCCCUCCGCCCUCCCCACCACCUCCUUCACCAUCCCCUCCGCCACCUCCUCCGCCACCUCCGCCCUCCCCACCACCUCCUUCACCAUCCCCUCCGCCACCUCCUCCGCCACCUCCACCACCUUCUCCAAAACCAAGUGAAUGUGGAGGCUGGUAUCAUUGUCCUGAAUAUCAAACAUGCUGCUGUAAGUUGUAUUUCUUUGGCAUAUGCUUUCGUCAUCAGUGUUGUCCUUAUGAGAAUGGUGUUUGCUGUCAUGGAUCAGAUUAUUGUUGCCCAACUGAAUAUCCCAUUUGUGAUGUUUAUGAAGGCCUCUGCCUCAAGAGGUUUCAUGAUACCGUGGGAGUGGCGGCAAAGAAGAGAAGAAUGGCCCAAUAUAAGUUACCAUGGAGUACAAAUACUAAAGAAACAGAGGAAAUGGGCCAAACUCUGAAAUGGAAGAGGAAGCAUGUUGCUCCAAUGUUCUGAGUUAAAUAAUUGUUAUCAUGCCUCUCAGCAUUCUUAAGAAUAAAUUCAGUUUUGGUUCUAACACCAAGAAUUUUGAUGAAUCAAACUUUUUAGCUGAAACCACAAACACAAUUCCUUAAUGAAUCUUGCUUGUGCAAAAAUAUGAAUUUCUGGAAAUACAGAACUAGAAAGAGAGUUAUGUAGCCCGGAAAUUCAACCCACCACAAGCAUUUCGUCAGCAGCUGCACUAUAGCUUUUGGUGAAGGUGGUCUUGGAUGUCUUUUAACCAUUUUCUUUUUAUAUACUUGAAAGAAAAUGGUGUAUGUGGAGGAGGAUACACGUGUAUGGAGGUGAAUCAUAAUUGUUUCUGGCUUCUGGUAAAGGAAACAUAGAAUGAUUAGAUUGCAUGAUGUAUAUACAUGUUAUUGUUUUCAGUAUAUUUGAUGGCUGCCUAGUAGCAUGA